AUCUAACCCUAAGAAUACAUACAUUACUAAAACAUAUGUUGUCAAAUCUUAAACCAAAGAAUAUCAUGACUCACUACUUUCAAUCAUCAAUGUUGAAAACAAUUCAAUUUUAUUAUAUUUUAAUUUAAAUCACUUACAACUUUUUAUAGUUACAUGAUUUCAAUUUUUUCCCUAUCAAAAUAUUUUUACAAAAUUUAUAAAUCUCUACUAUAUAAAAGGUACUAAAUUAGAGGAUCUAGGGAUGCCACAUCAUCAAAAAUAUUCAGAGCCAAUCAUUGUCACAUGUCAGCUUAAUUUUUAUGUCAUUUUGUCUUAUGUCGAAGCCCAAAUGAUGGCCCACCAAAACCAUUGAGUUGUAGUAACGCAGACAUGCAUUGCUCUUCACAAAACUCUUCCUCAAAAAACUCUCUCAGCUCAGCCGUUUCGGAUAUCCGGACUAACUCAAGUCAUCCACCACUCCCACUCA
rnacentral:lncRNA from 1 species